CGCUGGCGGCGUGCCUAACACAUGCAAGUCGAGCGGAGUUAACAAGAGGAAGUUUCGGAUGGAAUUUGUUAAUUUAGCGGCGGACGGGUGAGUAACGCGUGAGCGACCAACCUUGCACGAGGGGAUAACGGACCGAAAGGUUCACUAAUACCGCAUGAGACCACGGUGUUGCAUGACACAGAGGUCAAAGGAGCAAUCCGGUGCAAGACGGGCUCGCGUCCGAUUAGGUAGUUGGUGGGGUAAUGGCCCACCAAGCCUAUGAUCGGUAGCCGACCUGAGAGGGUGAUCGGCCACAUUGGAACUGAGAUACGGUCCAAACUCCUACGGGAGGCAGCAGUGGGGAAUAUUGGGCAAUGGGGGAAACCCUGACCCAGCAACGCCGCGUGAAGGAAGAAGGUUUUCGGAUUGUAAACUUCUGUCCCUGGUGAAGAGAGGAAGACGGUAGCCAAGGAGGAAGCCCCGGCUAACUACGUGCCAGCCGCCGC
rnacentral:rRNA from 1 species